GUAGGGUGCAAGCGUUAAUCGGAAUUACUGGGCGUAAAGCGUGCGCAGGCGGUUUUGUAAGUCAGAUGUGAAAUCCCCGGGCUUAACCUGGGAACUGCGUUUGAAACUACAAGGCUAGAGUGUGGCAGAGGGGGGUGGAAUUCCACGUGUAGCAGUGAAAUGCGUAGAGAUGUGGAGGAACACCGAUGGCGAAGGCAGCCCCCUGGGUUAACACUGACGCUCAGGCACGAAAGCGUGGGGAGCAAACAGGAUUAGAUACCCUGGUAGUCCACGCCCUAAACGAUGUCAACUAKUUGUCGGGUCUUAACGGACUUGGUAACGCAGCUAACGCGUGAAGUUGACCGCCUGGGGAGUACGGUCGCAAGAUUA
rnacentral:rRNA from 1 species